GGAUGCCUUGGCACUAGGAGCCGAUGAAGGACGUGAUAAGCUGCGAUAAGCUUCGGGGAGUUGCACGUAAACUUUGAUCCGAAGAUUUCCGAAUGAGGAAACUCACUUAGAGUAAUGUCUAAGUAUCAUUAAGUGAAUACAUAGCUUAAUGAGGGGAACUCAGGGAACUGAAACAUCUAAGUACCUGAAGGAAGAGAAAGAAAUUCGAUUCCGUAAGUAGCGGCGAGCGAACGCGGAUUAGCCCAAACCAAUAAAGGUUUCUUUAUUGGGGUUGCGGACAUAUCAUAACGAAGAGGUAUCGUAAUUGAAGAGGUUUGGAAAGACCCACCACAGAAGGUAAUAGUCCUGUAUGUUAAACGAGAAGACUUCAGAUAUGAUCCAGAGUACCACGGGACACGUGAAACCCUGUGGGAAGCAGGAGGGACCACCCUCCAAGGCU
rnacentral:rRNA from 1 species